AUCUAGAUGUAUGACAUUCUACAUCAAAUAUUCUGUAAAUUCUACAGGCUCUACACUAAAUAACUCAGUUCCAAACAGAGGACCACUUUAAGGUAGUAGAAACAGUGCUGCAUGGCUCCACUGCAUAUAUGCUGCCUGUAAAAUGUCAGAAAGUGGAUCCCCCAAGGCACCACAGUGUGUGCAAAGCAGAGGUCCCUCUCUGCCUCCCAGAACAGACUGUAUUGGAAAAAACUUCCUGUAAGUACGAACUGUGAAAAUACACAUGUGCACACACUUGUCUCCAACACAACCAUGCGUGCUUAAAACCUCUUGGUACUUACACGAGCGUAUUGCUCCUGGCAUUUUCUCUGUGAACACACACCCUUAAAAACUUCUUACAGGCUCCUUGGGCUUGUAACAUAUGCAUGUGUAUAGAAAGAAUGAUUUUCAGCAACUGAAUGGAAGUGUCUGAGUAUAGUGAUAUACAAGAAGGUUUCUAAACAGCUUGUGGUAUAUAUGCGAAGCGUAAAUACAUGCAAACCUGCUUUGCACAUAUCCAUGAGCAUAUGUGCAUGUACAUCCUAGAAGGCCUUUCUGAUACAAUUAAUAUGGGAAGACCUCACUGUAGGAAAUACAGUUCACUUUUCCCCUUUGUUUGAAAGUUUAAUCCUACAGGGACUGGAGAAAAGAGAUGAACCUGGUAACCUCUACAUCCUUUCCCUGCAGAUGCAAAGACAGCAGCAGCUCCCGGAACUGAAAGUACACGUGCACAGCACUUGGAGCCAGCACUUGGCAUUGUGCUUGCCUGCACAGACAGGGAGCACACAUCACAGGGUGCGUGGGGUGGCAGACACAGAACGAUGUGCCUUCUGUGAUGGUUCCAGAGCCCCAAGGUGCAGAGCUGAAACAGGGCUCUCAGCUAGCUUUGAAAAUCAGUAUGUGCAAGGCACCUCGUUGCCAUCAGUCAUCCCUAAAGUUAAUAGUGCAGCACUGAGCUGUUCUCCCCAAACACUUUUCUAACGAGCCUAGUGCUUCUAGGUAGGGUACAGUUCUCAUUAGGUCUCUUCACAAGCGAAACUUCCUCAAAGACACUGCUUCAAGGCCUGGGCCCACAUCUUUUGAUCCAGUUCCUUGCCUUUUUGUCCCACUAACUUCAGUGUUUGUUUUACCGUAUGCUGUGGUACCUGUUCCCAUGGCAGCACGGCAUGUGCUGAGGGCAGCAGCCUGCCAAACUUCCCUGUGGCCUUUCCAGCAGCUGCAAUUCAACCUGCCUGCUCCAUCUGCAAGGAGGAAAACCUUGUGCCUCACAUUGCUCUGCUGUUCAGAACAGACUCAGAUGCCUCUGUGUGCGGGUGCCAGUGCCCUCUCCUGGACACAGCCCGCAGGCUGGCAGCUUGCUUCCCAGUUCCGCUCUGCAGAAUGACAUAAUGGAAUAUGCGGUAUACAUGUUUUAAAAAACUAGAGAGGUAAAUUCUGUCCUCUGUUCUGAAUAUAAACCUGGUCCUGCGUGCCCACCAAUAGAGUUUGAAAUGGUCAGCUUCGACCAACUGUAAUCUGACCGGAGAGCCCAAAGCAGUUCCCAGAGGAAGCCGGUACAGGGAGAGCAGGGUCCUUCCCAGAGGAGGUGUCUCUAUCUGAGGAAGCACAGUGUUUGAUAGCACAAGUAACUAAGGGUAAAGACCAGGA